UUUUUUUUUUUUUUUUUAAAGACAUUGUCCUAAGUUAAAAAAGCCAACCACGAUUCCAAAUAUAUAAGGUACCUAGAGUAGUCAAAUUUACAGAGGCAGAAAGUAGAAUAGUGGUAGCCAAGGGCUGGAGGCUGGGGGAAUGGGAAGUUGUUGUUUAAUGGGUACAGAGUUUCAGUUUUGCAAGAUGAAAAGAGUUCUCGAAGAUUGGUAGCACAACAGUGUAAAUGUGAAAAUGGCAAAUUUUAUGUUACAUGAUUUUAUCCAAUUUAAAAAUAUAAAUAAAUAAUAAAAAUUUAAAAUAUCAGGUAGUAAGAAGGAUUAUGAAGAAGAUAAAACAAGUAGGUGCACAGAGCACUUGGGGUGGGGUGGGUAGAUUUAUAUUUGGUGGUCAGAGAACACUUCCCUGAUAAGUGACAGUCAAGCAGAGAUCUGAAGUCUGUGAAGGAGGAAGCACACAUCUGGGGAAAGAGCAUUUCAGCAGAUGUUAAAGCAAAUGCCAGUGGUAAAAAGUGGAACCAGUUUGGUGUGUUCUAGGAAUAGGAAGAGAGCCAGUUGUAGCUCAAACAUGAUAGGAGAGGAGAGUGGUGGAAUAAGGUCUCAGAGAGGUGGUGAUGGACAGAUCAUGUUUCGAGUUAUGCCUGAGUAUGUAUAAAGGCAUCCUGGUAUGAAUAAAAUGUAGGUAUUAUAUUUCUCUGUAAUUGUAGACAUAGUGUCUGUUUGUUUGAAGGCAGAUGAUUCUGUUGACUUACCUCAGACAUAUUUUCACUCUCUGUACCUCUCUAAGUUAGAUGAACAUUCGUAUUGGAGAUAGAGUCUCCAAGCUGUAUUCAGUAUUAUUCUUCUUCCCACCCCCACCUUGCCAUUUUUCUAAGGGAAUAGAUUUCCAAAAUUUUCAAGUUGCAGAAUGAAUGCUGUAUUUAUAGUUCAGAGCUAAAAUUUAAGCUUAUUUUAAGAAUUCUCUUAUUGCGGGAGGCCGAGGCGGGCAGAUCACAAGGUCAGGAGAUCGAGACCAUCCUGGCUAACACAGUGAAACCCCAUCUCUACUAAAAAUACAAAAAAUUAGCCGGGUGUAGUGGUGGGUGCCUGUAGUCCCAGCUACUCGGGAGGCUGAGGCAGGAGAAUGGCGUGAACCUGGGAGGCGGAGCUUGCAGUGAGCCAAGAUCACCGCCACUGCACUCCAGCCUGGGUGACAGAGGGAGACUCUGUCUCAAAAAAAAAAAAAAAAAAAGAAUUCUCCUAUUGCAAAAGUAAGUUUAAAAGGUAUGGAAAUCAAAGUAAAACUUUUAAUUUCAGAAUUAUCAAUAAUUUAUUGGAAAAUACGUAAUAAAAUGUUCAGUGUUUAUAA
rnacentral:lncRNA from 1 species